AUUGAACGCUGGCGGCAGGCUUAACACAUGCAAGUCGAGCGAGCGGCGGAGGGGUGAGUAAUGUCUUGGAAACUGCCUGAUGGACGGGGAUAACUACUGGAACCGUUAGAUAAUACCGCAUACCACCAGUUCUGCCCACAGGGGAUUAGCUAGUAGGUGGGGUAAUGGCUCACCUAGGCGACGAUCCCUAGCUGGUCUGAGAGGAUGACCAGCCACACUGGAACUGAGACACGGUCCAGACUCCUACGGGAGGCAGCAGUGGGGAAUAUUGCACAAUGGGCGCAAGCCUGAUGCAGCCAUGCCGCGUGAGUGAAGAAGGCCUUCGGGUUGUAAAGCACUUUCAUCGAGGAGGCGGUACUCGAAGAAGAAGCACCGGCUAACUCCGUGCCAGCAGCCGCGGUAAUUC
rnacentral:rRNA from 1 species